rnacentral:rRNA from 1 species
UACAGAGGUCUCAAGCGUUGUUCGGAUUCAUUGGGCGUAAAGGGUGCGUAGGCGGCGCGGUAAGUCGGGUGUGAAAUCUCGGAGCUUAACUCCGAAACUGCAUUCGAUACUGCCGUGCUUGAGGACUAGAGAGGAGACUGGAAUUUACGGUGUAGCGGUGAAAUGCGUAGAUAUCGAGAGGAACACCAGUGGCGAAGGCGAGUCUCUAGACAACUCCUGACACUGAGGCACGAAAGCUAGGGGAGCAAACAGG